rnacentral:misc_RNA from 1 species
GAUGAAGAACGUAGCGAAAUGCGAUAAGUAAUGUGAAUUGCAGAAUUCAGUGAAUCAUCGAAUCUUUGAACGCACAAUGCGCCCGCCAGUAUUCUGGCGGGCAUGCCUGUUCGAGCGUCAUUUCAACCAUCAAGCCCCAGGCUUGUGUUGGGGACCUGCGGCUGCCGCAGGCCCUGAAAACCAGUGGCGGGCUCGCUGUCACACCGGGCGUAGUAGAUUUUAUCUCGCUCAGGGCGUGCUGCGGGUCCCGGCCGUUAAAAGCCUUUUUUUACCCAAGGUUGACCUCGGAUCAGGUAGGAAGACCCGCUGAACUUAAGCAUAUCAAUAAGCGGAGGA